UGUAAAGUGAAAGUAGUCAGUGUACAGAAUGGCCUCUGUCAGUGUUGUAUUAUUAUAUUAGUGGAUGAUUAUUAUUGAUGCAUUAACAUGUAAUCACUACUUUAAUGUUGGAGUUGCUGCAGGUGGAGCCAAUAUGAACUACUUCAAAUACUUUUGGCUGCUUGAAUGUAAAAUAAUGAAUUCUAUUUUAUAAACUGAUCCCAUGUUUGAAAAGUAAGCAGGAAGUAAAGCUGUCAGAUAAAUGCAGCUCCAUGAGGCCAUCUAGUGGACUGAUAGUAGAAGUAGAGCAGCUGAUGGCAGCUUUCUGCUCUCAUUCUUCCUCAACACUGACCAAUGAGAACCAGCAGCAUCUCCUCUGGCCAAUAACAAACCACUAUUGAUCCAUGUAUUGAUUAGUUUGCAAUGUGUGACAGUGAUGAGAAAAGGCCAUCAGUAGUUCCCAGAGUUCACAGUCAUGUUUUCUAACUGCUUCUUUAGUCUGAGCAACAGUCCAACAAGCCAAAGGGAUUCAACUGACACUGAGAGGAAACAGAGAGAAGCAGCCAAUCAGUGGAGAAGCAGCUGAUAGUUUUACAGGAGAAAAGUUCCCUGAAAAGGAAAUAAUCUGCUCAGAAUUCAUCCAAAUCAACUUUAUCUUCUUGCAGUUACUGAGUUCAAUAUUUGGGUUGAUUGUACAGUUUUGGAUAUAAUAUGAAAUAUGUAUAAAAUAUGUCCCUCAGUCAGGGGUCGUCAGUUUACUCAGUGAUAGAAAAAGGUUGGGAACCACUGAUGUAAAGGAUGAAUGAGUGAUGAUGAGUUCUCAGUGCUGAUCAGUGAUUGGACUGAUGCUUUCAGCUCUGCUCUCAGUGUUUCCUCUACAGAUGAAGGUAGAAAGUCUCUGGGAGCUGAUGUGGAUGUGAAUUCAGCAGCAGCUGCCAAGCAGGUUGCUGUGUCUGUGUGAAGGUGUGGGCUCUGCUAUGAAUCAGUGUGAGGACAGAGAGGAGGGAGUCCCUCCCUCUAAAAGCACUCUGUGUGGGGAACAUGACACAAGGACCAAAGCUCAGAGGAUCCAUCAGAGACCAGACUGUCCUGAACCUGAACCCAGCUGUGUGUCCAUGAAGAGUGAUCGCUCUACGGGUCGUCUUAUAGACUUCAAAGAUGGCCGCCACUCUGUUGAUCAAAGGAGGAAACAACCUGAACCCAGCUGUGUGUCCAUGAAGAGUGACCGCUCAACGGGUCGUCUUAUAGACUUCAAAGAUGGCCGCCACUCUGUUGAUCAAAGAGUGGACCAGGAGAGCUCAGAGGUUCCCAGUGGUCAGUCUGCCCAGCAGCAUCAAACACACCUGGACUCCAUAUUUAUGCUGCUGGAGGAUAACAUUGUCACUUUUGUGAAGAACGAGCUGAAGAAGAUCCAGAAGGUUCUGAGUUCAGAUUACCCAGAAUGCUUGGAGAGUCAGAGGGAGGAUGAGGAGAGGUUGGAUGGUACAGAUGAAGAGCAGAGGAGGAGCAGCAGAGAGGCAUUUCUGAAGAUCACACUGCACUUCCUGAGGAGAAUGAAGCAGGAGGAGCUGGCUGACUGUCUGCAGAGCAGACAUCUUGUUGGAGUCUGUCAGCGUGAACUUAAAUCUAACCUGAAGAAGAAGUUCCAGUGUGUGUUUGAGGGGAUUGCUAAAGCAGGAAACCCAACCCUUCUGAACCAGAUCUACACAGAGCUCUACAUCACAGAGGGAGGGACUGCAGAGCUCAAUGAUGAACAUGAGGUCAGACAGAUUGAAACAGCAUCCAGGAGACCAGACAGACCAGAAACAACAAUAACACAAGAAGACAUCUUUAAAGCCUCACCUGGAAGAGAUGAACCAAUCAGAACAGUGAUGACAAAGGGAGUGGCUGGCAUUGGGAAAACAGUCUUAACACAGAAGUUCACUCUAGACUGGGCUGAAGACAAAGCCAACCAGGACAUACAGUUCACAUUUCCAUUCACUUUCAGAGAGCUGAAUGUGCUGAAAGAGAAAAAGUACAGCUUGGUGGAACUUGUUCAUCACUUCUUUACUGAAACCAAAGAAGCAGGAAUCUGCAGGUUUGAAGAGUUCCAGGUUGUGUUCCUCUUUGACGGUCUGGAUGAGUGUCGACUUUCUCUGGACUUCCACAACACUGAGAUCCUGACUGAUGUUACAGAGUCCACCUCAGUGGAUGUGCUGCUGACAAACCUCAUCAGGGGAAAACUGCUUCCAUCAUCUCGCCUCUGGAUAACCACACGACCUGCGGCAGCCAAUCAGAUCCCUCCUGAGUGUGUUGACAUGGUGACAGAGGUCAGAGGGUUCACUGACCCACAAAAGGAGGAGUACUUCAGGAAGAGGUUCACAGAUCAGGAGCAGACCAGCAGAAUCAUCUCCCACAUCAAGACAUCACGAAGCGUCCACAUCAUGUGCCACAUCCCAGUCUUCUGCUGGAUCACUGCUACAGUUCUGGAGGAUGUGUUGAAGACCAGAAAGAGAGGAGAGCUGCCCAAGACCCUGACUGAGAUGUACAUCCACUUCAUGGUGGUUCAGUCCAAACUGAAGAAUCUCAAGUAUGAUGGAGGAGCUGAGACAGAUCCACACUGGAGUCCAGACAGCAGGAAGAUGAUUGAGUCUCUGGGAAAACUGGCUUUUGAGCAGCUGCAGAAAGGCAACCUGAUCUUCUAUGAAUCAGACCUGACAGAGUGUGGCAUCGAUAUCAGAGCAGCCUCAGUGUACUCAGGAGUGUUCACACAGAUCUUUAAAGAGGAGAGAGGACUGUACCAGGACAAGGUCUUCUGCUUCGUCCAUCUGAGUGUUCAGGAGUUUCUGGCUGCUCUUCAUGUCCAUCUGACAUUCAUCAACUCUGGAGUCAAUCUGCUGGCAGAAGAAAAAACAAUAUCUCUAAAGUCCAAAUUAUUUAAGGACAAACUGAAUCUAAAACAACUCUACCAGAGUGCUGUGGACAAGGCCUUACAGAGCCCAAAUGGACACCUGGACUUGUUCCUCCGCUUCCUCCUGGGCCUUUCACUGCAGACCAAUCAGAAUCUCCUACAAGGCCUGCUGACACAGACAGGAAGUAGCUCACAGACCAAUCAGAAAACAGUUCAGUACAUCAAGAAGAAGAUCGAAGAGACUCCCUCUGCAGAGAGAAGCAUCAAUCUGUUCCACUGUCUGAAUGAACUGAAUGAUCGUUCUCUAGUGGAUCAGAUCCAACAGUCCCUGAGUUCAGGAAGUCUCUCCACAGAUAAACUGUCUCCUGCUCAGUGGUCAGCUCUGGUCUUCAUCUUACUGUCAUCAGGAAAAGAUCUCGACGUGUUUGACCUGAAGAAAUACUCUGCUUCAGAGGAGGCUCUCCUGAGGCUGCUGCCAGUGGUCAAAGCCUCCAACAAAGCUCUACUGAGUGGCUGUAACCUCUCAGAGAGAAGUUGUGAAGCUCUGUCCUCAGUUCUCAGCUCCCAGUCCUCUAGUCUGAGAGAGCUGGACCUGAGUAACAACAACCUGCAGGAUUCAGGACUGAAGCUGCUGUCUGUGGGACUGAAGAGUCCACACUGUACACUGGAAACUCUCAGACUGAGUGACUGUAACCUCUCAGAGAGAAGCUGUGAAGCUCUGUCCUCAGUUCUCAGCUCCCAGUCCUCUAGUCUGAGAGAGCUGGACCUGAGUAACAACAACCUGCAGGAUUCAGGACUGAAGCUGCUGAAUGUGGGACUGGAGAGUCCACACUGCACACUGGGAAUCCUCAGGGUGGAGCCUGCUGGAGUCCGAUGGUUGAGACCAGGUCUGAGGAAGUAUUCCUGUGAACUCACAGUCGACACAAACACAGUGAACAGAAAGAUCAAACUGUCUGACAACAACAGGAAGAUGACAUUAGUGAAGGAGGAUCAGUCAUAUCCUGAUCAUCCAGACAGAUUUGACUGUCCUCAACUGCUGUGUAGAAAUGUUCUGACUGGUCGCUGUUACUGGGAGGUCGAGUGGAGAGGAGGAGUUUAUAUAUCAGUGAGUUACAGAGGAAUCAGCAGGAGAGGAAACAGUAGAAACUGUGUGUUUGGAGGGAAUGAUCAGUCCUGGAGUCUGGAGUUCUCUGAUGAUGGUUACUAUGUCUGUCACAAUAACAGAAAAACAUUCAUCUCCUCCUCCUCCUCCUCCUCCUCCUCCUCCUCCUCCUCCUCCUCCUCCUCUGGUAGAGUAGCAGUGUAUGUGGACUGUCCUGCUGGCACUCUGUCCUUCUACACAGUCUCCUCUGACACACUGAUCCACCUCCACACCUUCAACACCACAUUCACUGAACCUCUUUAUCCUGGGUUCAGGUUCUGGCUUAGGUUCAGCUCUGGUUCCUCAGUGUCUCUGUGUCCUCUGUAGGAGGGAGAGAGAAACUUUCUCACUGCUGACCAGAUAGUUCAGACUGUACAGGAUCACACACAGCUGAUGUUAGUUAGUACCAACCUGAUGUGUUUACUGUAAUAGAGGAGGAAGAGGAGGCUGAAGGAAGAGAAGAGCAAAGAUGCUGGGAUGAAGGGAUCCUGUGUGAGGGUAAUGUGCAGCCUGCAGACGUAGAGAUAAAGAAAUGAUAGAAAGAAUUGAUCUUCUUCUAUAACUCUGAGAAAAAUGAACAUUUUUAGGAUCAAAUGUGGCUGCUUGUUUUUCACAUCUUCUUCUUUUUGAAAGCACAGUUAGAGGGAAAGUGUUUUUAUGACUCAAAUAUUAAAGUGUGAACAAAUAUUCACCUUUGAGUCUAAAACUGAACUUUGUUGCCUUAAAACUUUUGUUUCUGUGAAGAAAAAAUGUGUUCAAAUGUCAAACAAGAGUCUUUCAGGAUCAAAUUCAGCAUCUGUGUAAAAAUAGUUCCAAGGUGUAAAGAGUGGCUUUGAUUGGAACAAACUAAAUUCAUCAUCUUUGGUCAUCAUGGAACAAAUGUACAAACUUUGAUAAGUCAGGUUAAAAUCAAAAGAAAUCAAAGUUUUGGGAUGAUUCUAGAUAAUAAAUGAUGCUGGAAACCACAUCUAAAUGAUGUCAAAGCAAAACUGUCCAAAUGGAUCCAACACUGUAUAAAAUGAAGGAUUAGUUAAAUCCAGCUUCAUACUUUAUAUUGAAAGUGAAAGAGUCCAAAAGUUCUUUGAAAUGAGAUAAAGUCUAAUGAUUAAUUUCAUGAACAAAUUUAAAAGUGAUCAGACUGACAUGUUGGCAUUAGUACAGUAGAGAUAGUGUCACAUUAGUCUGACGUCAAACACUCAAUAAUCUGCAGCUUUUCACUCUUUUUUUUGGUUUGUUUUUUCUAUUUUGCAAUUUUUUUGUCUCAUUAUUUGUGUAAAAUUUCAAUUUGUUUACUCUGAAUGUUUCCUUUCUUAUCAACAUGUUUGCUUUUACUGAUUAUUCCUUGUAAAACAUUCAAUUUAAAACUUGUAAAAACUACUUUAUUCAGUUUUUCUUUUUCUUUAACUUUCUUGUCCUGAUGUCACUGUGAUGUUGCCACAGUGUAUGAUUUCUGUCUGUCUUUGUCAUUCUUGUUCAAUAAAGUUUUAAAGAAAUAAACCUGCUGGUGA